rnacentral:rRNA from 1 species
AGUGAAGCGGCAACAGCUCAAAUUUGAAAUCUGGCCCUCGGGUCCGAGUUGUAAUUUGUAGAGGAUGCUUUUGGCGCGGUGCCUUCCGAGUUCCCUGGAACGGGACGCCUUAGAGGGUGAGAGCCCCGUACGGUUGGACACCAAGCCUCUGUAAAGCUCCUUCGACGAGUCGAGUAGUUUGGGAAUGCUGCUCUAAAUGGGAGGUAAAUUUCUUCUAAAGCUAAAUAUUGGCCAGAGACCGAUAGCGCACAAGUAGAGUGAUCGAAAGAUGAAAAGCACUUUGAAAAGAGGGUUAAAUAGCACGUGAAAUUGUUGAAAGGGAAGCGUUUGCGACCAGACCUUUUCCUGGCGGAUCAUCCGGUGUUCUCACCGGUGCACUUCGCCAGGUCGAGGCCAGCAUCGGUUUCCGCGGGGGGAUAAAAGCU